UACGGGGAGGGCAAGCGUUGUUCGGAAUUACUGGGCGUAAAGGGCUCGUAGGCGGCCAACUAAGUCCGACGUGAAAUCCCAAGGCUUAACCUUGGAACUGCGUCGGAUACUGGAUGGCUUGAAUUCGGGAGAGGGAUGCAGAAUUCCAGGUGUAGCGGUGAAAUGCGUAGAUAUCUGGAGGAAUACCGGUGGCGAAGGCGGCAUCCUGGACCGACAUUGACGCUGAGGAGCGAAAGCUAGGGGAGCAAACGGG
rnacentral:rRNA from 1 species